ensembl:lncRNA
CCAGUGCAAACACCUGAUUGAAUGAAUUUGUUUCCAGCCUGCUGAAUUGUCUCAGAGUUCUAACUGGUCGGCAAAAUUGGUCUGAACUGGUUUCUUCCAGUACAGAAAGCCACGGCAGGUGGUGGUGGGGGGGGAGCCAAAUGUAAACUAAAAACUAAAACGCCUUAAAUGAAUAAAAGUGGUGCGAUUUUGUAACAGCAACAACGAUGUGGACUCAUUCUGGAUUAGAUUUGUAUUUAUUUAUUUAUGCAAAAUCAAUUCGACCCAGUUUAGAUGAAAAAAAAAUGUUUAUAUAUAAAUAUAUCUUUUCAACUAAACUCAACAAAAAAACAUUUAAUGUUGGUUUGUUAAUGUUGUUGAAGGGUCAUUAUUAUUAUUAUUACUGUAUUUGUUAUGCUUUAGAAUGAUACUUAUCUGGUGUCAUUUUAUUAUAUUUUUUGAGGGAUCAUUAUGUGUGUAUAUAUUUGUAUAUAAUAUACACAAUGUAAGUAUAUAUAUAUAUAUAUAUAUAUAUUAUAUAUAUACAUACAUAUAUAUUAUAUAUUUUAUUGUCUCGGGGGUACAAUUACUAUUUUGAGAUCUUAAUUUCGUUUGUCCCUGUUGAGUCAUAAACGGAAUGAAGACAGUGACGUCACGCAAGGCGCUGCCAUGGCAACGGCGGCCGCCUGUUCCUGUAGCCCGCAGCCGGCUCGCAUGCCGGUCCUCCUGGUUAACUAGUGGAGCGCCAUGAACCAGCUAGUUAACGAAGUCCAAGCGAUGAGGCAGGAGCGGCUCCCCGCGGUGUUUCGUCGGUGGCGAGAGCGCCAUGACCGCCCGCUUCAAGUGUCGGAGUGAAUACCAGAAGAGCUUCAGGGUCCCCCGGUCCACAAGUGUGUGUCCUCAGCGCGGCGCCCCACCGGCCGGUCUGCGCUGCGACCAAAUGGGUAUCUGCAGAGAACCAGGUCUCCAGAGGCGUAAGAGGCUCGGUCCUCCUGGUCCUGCUGAAUCCUGUUCAGUCCUGCUGUGUCCUCCGGAUCCACGGAACUCCAGUGCACCGCCUGCUGCCACUCAGAGUCCCUCAGCUCACGGGAAGAAGACGGCCCUGGAGCCUAAUCCUCCAACACCUCCCGGACCACGAGCCGACCCCGGUUUGGGGACGCAGGACGCAGGACCAGCUGCAGACCCUGGAUCAGUCGAGCCAGGAGCUGCUGGAAAAUCUGGUGAAUACGCAUGUCGUAACUUUGUCUUACUUACAGUCUUCAAACCAUUGAUUCUGAGUAUUUAUGCUUUUUCCGUCCCCUCAGCCAAGCCCC